AGCGGAGCGAGCUCCCCGGCAGCUGGCUCGGCCGUCACCGCGGUUCCGGGGCAGGGAGGGGUGAAGGGAGAGAGGGAGCCGGCUACAGGCACCUCGCUCAAAGUGAUGGGGCUCGAUGCUAAUGAACGAAAUCCAGAAAACAACUCAGGGAAACUGAAGAGAGCUGCUAUACAUCCUGAGGAUCUGAUGGCAUCAUAAACCACUCUUGCAGUUACACAGUGUCUUGAGAGCUUUCCGUUGUGUCUAUCUUAGCCGGCGAAGAAAUCUUAAAGAAGGAUGUAAAUGAGGAAAGUUCACACCGUCGCUACUCUGGGACUGGGAAUUUUUCCAAGGAAAAUUAGGGAACAGAAAAAGAUCAUCACGCAAAAUUCCUCCC